rnacentral:rRNA from 1 species
AACGAACGCUGGCGGCAUGCCUAACACAUGCAAGUCGAACGAGACCUUCGGGUCCUUUGUCGCACGGGUUUGUAACGCGUGGGAACCUUCCCUUAGGUUCGGAAUAACUCCCCGAAAGGGGUGCUAACACCGGAUAAUGUCUUCUGACCAAAGAUUUAUCGCCUUUGGAUGGGCCCGCGUUGGAUUAGCUAGUUGGUAGGGUAAAAGCCUACCACGGCGACGAUCCAUAGCUGGUCUGAGAGGAAGAUCAGCCACACUGGGACUGAGACACGGCCCAGACUCCUACGGGAGGGAGCAGUGGGGGAUAGUGGAAAAUGGGCGAAAGCAUGAUGCAGCAAUGCCGCGUGAGUGAUGAAGGCAUUAGGGUUGUAAAGCUCUUUUACCCGGGAUGAUAAUGACAGUACCGGGAGAAUAAGCUCCGGCUAACUCCGUG